UCUUCUUGUUUUUAAAGACCUAGCAAUAGGUAUGCUUAGGGAGGAGCUUGCGUCACAUUAGUUAGUUGGUGGGGUAAAGGCCUACCAAGACUAUGAUGUGUAGCCGGGCUGAGAGGUUGAACGGCCACAUUGGGACUGAGACACGGCCCAAACUCCUACGGGAGGCAGCAGUAGGGAAUUUUCGGCAAUGGAGGAAACUCUGACCGAGCAACGCCGCGUGAACGAUGAAGUAUUUCGGUACGUAAAGUUCUUUUAUUAGGGAAGAAUAAAUGAUGGAAAAAUCAUUCUGACGGUACCUAAUGAAUAAGCCCCGGCUAACUAUGUGCCAGCAGCCGCGGUAAUACAUAGGGGGCAAGCGUUAUCCGGAAUUAUUGGGCGUAAAGGGUGCGUAGGCGGUUAAAUAAGUUUAUGGUCUAAGUGCAAUGCUCAACAUUGUGAUGCUAUAAAAACUGUUUAGCUAGAGUAAGAUAGAGGCAAGUGGAAUUCCAUGUGUAGUGGUAAAAUGCGUAAAUAUAUGGAGGAACACCAGUAGCGAAGGCGGCUUGCUGGGUCUUUACUGACGCUGAGGCACGAAAGCGUGGGGAGCAAACAGGAUUAGAUACCCUGGUAGUCCACGCCGUAAACGAUGAGUACUAAACGUUGGGUAAAACCAGUGUUGAAGUUAACACAUUAAGUACUCCGCCUGAGUAGUACGUACGCAAGUAUGAAACUUAAAGGAAUUGACGGGACUCCGCACAAGCGGUGGAUCAUGUUGUUUAAUUCGAAGGUACCCGAAAAACCUCACCAGGUCUUGACAUGCUUCUGCAAAGCUGUAGAAACACAGUGGAGGUUAUCAGUUGCACAGGUGGUGCAUGGUUGUCGUCAGCUCGUGUCGUGAGAUGUUGGGUUAAGUCCCGCAACGAGCGCAACCCUUAUUGUUAGUUACCAGCACGUAAUGGUGGGGACUUUAGCAAGACUGCCAGUGAUAAAUUGGAGGAAGGGGGGACGACGUCAAAUCAUCAUGCCCCUUAUGACCUGGGCUACAAACGUGAUACAAUGGCUGUUACAAAGGGUAGCUGAAGCGCAAGUUUUUGGCGAAUCUCAAAAAAACAGUCUCAGUUCGGAUUGAAGUCUGCAACUCGACUUCAUGAAGUUGGAAUCGCUAGUAAUCGCGAAUCAGCA
rnacentral:rRNA from 1 species